rnacentral:lncRNA from 1 species
CAGUGACUUCAGGCAGUUUAAAAUAGUCUCAGGGGUUACGAGAGGCUUCUCAGGCACAGAAUGCAGUUUCAGCACAUCAAUCAUCCCUUUCUGCUGUUUCUGCAAGAGAUGGAAUAUCUUGAUUUGAAAACAUCUUUCUAACACAAAGCAGUUUCAGUGCUCUUGUAUUUUGAGAAGACUUUACAAGGCCUUUCCUCAGGCAUUUGAAUGUAGCAGGUUUCCCACCUGAGUCACCUCUCUCCAGUGGUUUACAGCAAGAAUGCUGA